rnacentral:rRNA from 1 species
UACGUAGGGUGCGAGCGUUAAUCGGAUUUACUGGGCGUAAAGGGCGCGUAGGCGGUCAGCACAAGUCAGUUGUGAAAUCUCCGGGCUUAACUCGGAAAGGUCAACUGAUACUGUGCGACUAGAGUGCGGAAGGGGCAACUGGAAUUCUCGGUGUAGCGGUGAAAUGCGUAGAUAUCGAGAGGAACACCUGCGGCGAAGGCGGGUUGCUGGGCCGACAUUGACGCUGAGGAGCGAAAGCCAGGGGAGCAAACGGG